GACUGCUGCUGCUGGGCAGCUCCUGGGGACACCUCCCACAGGCAGUUCCUUGGUGAGGCUGUGACUGAAGUACUGGGCAACCUCCUCAUGCUAGGAGUGCCUCUUCAGGUGUUGGGGUUUCUUAAUACCUUUCUGCUGGAAGCUGCAUUUCUGUGAGAGGUAUUUGAGCAGACACCAAGGACGGUAUUUUCAAAGGCCUUGUAAUCACUGAAGGCUGGUUCUUUGCUGAUAUUCUGUGGCUUGUCCUAUGAAUAUGAGGCACUGAGUUUAAGAUGUAUAUGGAUUUGUGUGUAAAGGCAGUUAAAGAUGGAAAAGGCUGUUUCGAGGCCACCUGCAAUAUCUCAAAGCUUCCUGCAUGGAGUGUCUGACCUACAGAGACAUUUUGGAAAAGAGAAUUAACAUUUUUGUGCAGCUGCUGACCAGCCAGUUAGUCAGAACUAAAGCUGGAAUGCUGUGAGGGGAGCUGCAGCCACCAGUGGUGCUUUCUGCAGAUG